AUGGAGACGUCGACCCAAGAAACGACAUCAAGGGCAGAGCACGUCAAGAAGAAGAUGCCAUCUUCGUCGAUCCGGGUGAAAAAGGGCAUGACGGUGAAGGUGCGCACGCGCGCCGGGAUCCUGCCGACGGGGCGCUGCCUCCUGCUCUGGCUCGCCGCCCGCGUCGUCUCCGGCGCAGCAGGUGACGACGGCUACAUCGAAGUGAUCUACAACGGCAACUUCCCCCGCGACGACCCCCUCCGAACCAUUUUCCCGGCGGAGCUGAGGAGAGGCGAAGAAGACAGUGGACAUGAUGCUCCUGCGCGUGGAGCUCUUCUGCACCACUCCACGACCCAUCUUCUUUUCGCUGCCAGCCGUCCGGUAAACAAGCCCGUGACCACUUUGCCGCAGGCGGACACGAUGCUACUCGGUGCACAACCCGCAGUGGGCGCUGAAGGUGUUUCGAAGAGCAAUGGAGGGGGCGGAUCCGGCGCACGUCACGGUGUUCUUCAGUCAGACUCGCUGACCAGUUGCAGGCACACUGUGACAUGCCGCUCGAGGAGUACCAGGAUAAUCAAUUUGGGGAUCAAGAAUGUCUACCGCGUGUUGGGUCAAGGUGACAGAACACAAUUCAUCCCAUUAUCAUUAUGGGUGUAUGAUGGUAUAGUUGUGGGCUCGCUUGGGGCGGUGACGGUUGCCUCGACGCCCUCUCCACCUCCGUUGGAGCCUAGUCAGUCGGAGUAUGCAUGUGUGGAGGGUGAUGGUCCAGACAUGGCUAACAUGCGAUCGCUUGAACCCUUUGGAGGUGUGGUUCCUAUGGCUGAUAAAAUUGUUGUGGCCGGAGUGUUGGUGCCUAAUCCUGGUGUCCUUUUAGCCACCAAGAUAUGUGAAUUCCUAGCCAACCUGGACUCUGAAAAUUCUGGAAAGACGAUUGGAUGCCUCUUGGAGGAAAAAGCUUUGAGGGAGAAGCACAAGAAGGGUGGCGCUAACUCUAGAUCUGGCAUCCUCAAAGAGAAAUCUUGCAGGAGGAAAAGCAAGAAGGAUAGCGCUAGAGGGGAGGCGCAAAUGGUUCCAUGA
rnacentral:rRNA from 1 species